UGUGUAUGCAUGUCCGUGUGUCCAUAUCUGUGCGUGUGUGUGUGCACGUGUGCAUACACGUUUCUGUGCAUGUGUGUGCGUGUGUUCACAGCUCUCCUCAUGCUCUCUGGGCCAUGACUUUGGUGCCUGUGGCCCUGUGUCAUGUGUUUGACUUUGAGUCUAUCGAGAUGUCUAGUGGGGACCUGGCUUGUGACCUUGGGAGUGUGUGAGGGAUAGAAUGUGCUUGUGCACUGAGUAAGGUGGGCUGUGAGGUUGUGAUUUUGAAUCGGAGCGUGUGCGUCCUCCAUGAGUGUGUGAGAGCCUAAGCACGUGCCUCCUCCAUUCAGAGGCUGGAGUCCCUGUGGCAGGAGGGGACAAGGGGAGAACAGGAGUCCUGGGAAGGUGACCCUGUGGGCAGACAGGCAGCUGGGCUGGUGGGGGAGGGAGGGAGCCACCCCAUUGUCCCCCGGGAGCACAAUGCCUAUGCCUCAGCCCCUGACCUCACCAUUGUGCCCACCUCCCCCCUCCCCGUUGCCAGGGCCUGAUUGAAAGAGGCCAUCAAUCAGGCUGCCCGCCAGGCCAGUCAGACAGUGGCCAGCUCUGCUCAGCCAGCCAGGCCCUGCUGUCCCUCCCAGCUCCCCCCUUGCCACCCCCAAACCCCUCCAUGGUCAAAGUCCUGUCUUCUGGUCCCUUGCUCAGGCAGAGGGAGCAUCUCAACUGAGGGGCAGGCAGUGGGCAGGGGCUGGGCCCCGGGAGACCACCGUGUCCAGGCUGUGCUGACUGUCCCUAAGGCUAUGCUGCAGGCUCUGAACUGGCCUUUGCGGGGAGCCUGGGGAUAUAGUGGGCGCCUGCUGGUGCUGCCUGCCAGGGGGAGGGGAGACACCUGUGUCCACUUCCUGGCAGCGGGAUGGUCUGCUGGUGGUACCAUCUGAUGCCAGACGGUUCCCUGCCCUCCUACUGGAAUCCCUCAUCCUGUGCCCACGAGUGCCACUGUGUGGCCCAGAACUGCUAUGGGAGGCAGGGGGCCGGGGCCAGGGUAGAGCUGGCAAGUGAGUGACAGGGCUGCUCCUGGGGAUUGGGACAGAAGUGCACGGGGGCAACUCAGGGGCACCCACAGGACACAGAGCUGCCCAAAGUGGGCCUGGAAGGGUUGGCUCGGCCACUGGACAUGAGUGCACAGUGCCUUGGGCCCCUACUAGGCCCAAAUAAAUGUUUUAAUUUCUUUAAAAUUAGAAGAAAAAGCAUGAAUAGGAUAAUAAUAGUCAUAAUUGAGUUCUGCUGAAAGUUGUCUUUGUAUCACUUUAUACCAGUGCAGCUGUGAAAUGUAAGAAUAAUUUAAUGGAGAAAGACAAAGUUCUUAUGACCCACAAAAGCCAUAAACCCAAGAAGAGACUUCGGGGGUUGCACAGUGAGGAGAGCAGGAGUGGCCGUGUGGGCACAGAGGCGGGGCCUGGCCUGGGGCUGCUCUUGGGUACUCAGGUGGCCCCCACACUCAGGUCUGUCCUGUUCCCACCAACACCCAGAGUCAGUCGAGGUAGAGGGUGGAGUUGUGCGUUUCCAGUGACUGAUCCGGGGGGCGCCUGAGCCCUCCAUUUCUUGGGAGCACAAUGGCACGGCCCUGAAUCCCACCGACCACCACUGAGCACCAGCCAGGAGUGGAAUGGGGUGAUGGGCAGGGGACAUGGAGCAGGCUGUGGGUUUGUGACUUCUGUAUCCUCAGGGUCACACUGCUGCCUGGGGGUAUCCUGUACAUUACCAACAUGAGCCAGGCUGAUGUGGGCACCUACCGUCUUGUUGCAAGAAAUGUGGCCAGUACCCGCCACAGCCAGGACGCCCAGCUGACCCCGACUGGGCACCCGCAGCUGCUGCAGAGGCCAGAGAUCCUGUCUGGGCCUCAGGACUUGACGCUCACGGUGCACCAAACAGCAGUGCUGGAGUGUAUCGCCACUGUGACAGCCACCAAGGCCGCUUGUCUCCUGGAGCAGCCUGGCUCCCCCAGAGUUUGUCCAGUGGCCAGGGUCUUUAUCCAAGUCCCACACCAGUUGUUCCUGUGGCCAAGGUGAAACAGCUCACUCCCCUCUGUCUCUUCCUCAGCUGGAGACAUAGGUAAGCCCCAGGUAAUGUGGAAACUUUUAAGGAGAGUCAUGACUGUGGCAUUUGACCAGACAGAGACAGAGCCCUUCCCCCUCACUCACCAAAAUUAGGAAGGAGAGCGAGGUGGGCCGCAGGCAGUUCUCUUCAGUCGUGUGGUACCAGGAGUGAAGGGAGGCCUUCUGGGCUUCCAAAUGGGCAGAGAAAACUGCUACUCCCAAGAUGGAGACCAGAGGUGGACAACAAGGCCAGAGCCAGUUUCCCUGCCACCCAGGAGCAAGAAAGGGUGACCCUCUCCAUCUCUGGGAAAAAUGGAACAGGGUGAAGGUCAGGGUCCAUUCUAAGAUGGAGGGAGGUCCCAGACAGGUCAUGGUGCCGACACUUUCUGUCUGGGAAGCCUCUUCGGCAGACAGGGGUCCCAAGAAUGUCGGGCAGCAUCUGAGCCUGCAGCAGACAGAGCUGCAGCUCAUGCAGGCCAGGCUCAGAGUAGGGGGCAACUGGUGUGCUUGAGGACUGGGACAUGGGCCAGGUGACCAUGGCACAGCUCUUAGCCUAGGGCCCUCCAAGUUGGUUUCCUCCCAGAUAUCAUUUAACUCUGGAUCCACCAAAGAAUCGACCUCGUCUGUUCCUGUUACUCCGGAGUCAGGAGGAAACCAAAGGUGCCUCAGCCCCAUCUGGGGAGGGGCAGGCCUGGCCAUGGCAGGAGAGAAAGUGGUGUGGGUUUUGUUCCUCCUUCUAGAUCAAGAAACAGGAGAAUCUGCAUCCUUCCAGGCAGCAUACCAAAUAACCUUCAUCUAGGCCAAGGCACUGGAGUUACUCAAUAGCGACGACUCCUGCCUUAGAACCCCUCUUGAUCCAAAUAUGGACCUAUCCAGAGAUUUAUAGCUUUAAAUGUCCCUUCAAAGUGGAGAAGCAAGACUAGGGGCUUUGUCACCACGUCCAUCUCAAAACCAGAAUUCGAGUCUGAGAUUUGUUUUUCUCUUCCUGCUCAAGCUGAAGACUGACAGAGGGACCAGUAACCGUAUUUCUCAUAGUCUGAGUCAGCAAAUGGGCAAAAGGGGAGCCAAGUUCAUUGCCCCCCCUGACCCAACACCACAAGUCUUUCUCUGAGCAACCAAAUUCCCAUUGCCCCUUCCCAGAUCCAAAGCAUUGGUCCCUCUUCAGGGGAUCCCUCCCCAUUUGAUUUCUUUUCUUUUUCUUUUCUUUUUUUUUAAAGAGAGAGUGAGAGA